CCUACGGGUGGCAGCAGUGAGGAAUAUUGGUCAAUGGGCGGAAGCCUGAACCAGCCAAGUCGCGUGAGGGAUUAAGGCCCUGCGGGUCGUAAACCUCGUUUGCCGGGGAGCAGAGGUCCGGACGUGUCCGGGCCGGGAGAGUACCCGGAGAAAAAGCAUCGGCUAACUCCGUGCCAGCAGCCGCGGUAAUAAGGAGGAUGCGAGCGUUAUCCGGAUUUAUUUGGUUUAAAGGGUGCGUAGGCGGGCAUUUAAGCCGGCGGUCAAAUGUCGGGGCUCAACCCCGGCCUGCCGUCGGAACUGGGUGCCUUGAGUGGGCGAGAAGUAGGCGGAAUGCGUGGUGUAGCGGUGAAAUGCAUAGAUAUCACGCAGAACCCCGAUUGCGAAGGCAGCAUACCGGCGCCCGACUGACGCUGAGGCACGAAAGUGCGGGUAUCGAACAGGAUUAGAUACCCGAGUAGUC
rnacentral:rRNA from 1 species